rnacentral:lncRNA from 1 species
AACAAAACAAAAAAACAAAACGCAAACCCCACAGAACUCAGAGGCGCCCGUCCCGGGGCACAAGGCCCUCACAACUCGGCCCUGCACAGCCCCGGCCACAGGCAGAGCCAAGUCUGCGUGGGAAAUCUCGCCGGCCAUGGCGGGGACAAGUCACGAGGAGGGCGAGCGCCCCAGGCCGGCUCUGUCGCCGGCCAGGAAGGCCUCGCGCCAGCCGGGGUGCAAACCCAGGGAGCCGCUGGGCCCGCCUCCAGCAGCCGGGCAGCGGGAACCCCGGAGCGCCGUGGAACAGCCCGGGAGGGCGCCGCGCCCCCUGGCGGCGGGGCUCGCCCCACCCCGCGCCCGGGCCCGGCGCCCGGCGGCCUCGCUCCCUCCGCAGCCUCCCAGGGCAGCGUCCCUCCGAGCGGCGGCUCUCCGGCCUCCCGCUCCCCGCCCCUUGCCCCUGUGACACGCCGCCAGGUCCCCGCCACAGGCCGGCCGAGGGCGAGCGCCCCGGCGUCGCGCAGCUUCCCGGCGGCCCUGGCCGCUCCAUCGCGGGCCCGGCGGGGGUGGAGAGCCGGCGCGCGGCGCGAGUGGGGCCGGCCUGGCGGCGGCGGCGCGGACCGUUCCACCGCGCGUUCCCCCCUCCUCCCUCCUUCCCUCCCUCCCCGGCCGCGGCGCGCGUGCUCCCGGAACGCCAUGGAGUCGCGGCGUUCCGAGCGGGCACAAAGGGGCGCGCGGCACAAUGGGCGCGGCGAGCCCGGGGGCCCGCCCCCCCCCCGGCCGCGCCCGCCGGUGCCCGCGCCGCCCGCACUCACUGGACGAGGACCUGCGGAGCGGGUCCGCGCCGAGUUCGGCGCGAGCGCGGCUGCGCCGGGGCGGCCCCGCCAACUGCUGGGGGCGGCGGGCGGGCGGGCGCCGUGUAUUUUCCCCUCUCUUUGUGUGUGUCCGUGCGCUGCGCUCUCGCGUGACGUGACGGGACUCCGUGUGUCAUUUCCGCACAAGGACACAGGAGCCCCCGCUGCAGUGGAACCUCAAGCCCUCCGCCCCCACCGCGCCGCCCCUCCCCCUCAGCGGGGCACACGCGGGACCGGCGGCGGCGGCGGCGCUCGGGCGUGA